UGAGUUUGAUCCUGGCUCAGGACGAACGCUGGCGGCGUGCCUAAUACAUGCAAGUCGAGCGAAUCACAGGGAGCUUGCUCCCGGUGGUUAGCGGCGGACGGGUGAGUAACACGUGGGCAACCUGCCUGUAAGACUGGGAUAACACCGGGAAACCGGUGCUAAUACCGGAUAAUCCUUUCCCUCACAUGAGGGAAAGCUGAAAGUCGGUUUUUAGCUGACACUUACAGAUGGGCCCGCGGCGCAUUAGCUAGUUGGUGAGGUAACGGCUCACCAAGGCGACGAUGCGUAGCCGACCUGAGAGGGUGAUCGGCCACACUGGGACUGAGACACGGCCCAGACUCCUACGGGAGGCAGCAGUAGGGAAUCUUCCACAAUGGACGAAAGUCUGAUGGAGCAACGCCGCGUGAGCGAUGAAGGCCUUCGGGUCGUAAAGCUCUGUUGUUAGGGAAGAACAAGUAUCGGAGUAACUGCCGGUACCUUGACGGUACCUAACCAGAAAGCCACGGCUAACUACGUGCCAGCAGCCGCGGUAAUACGUAGGUGGCAAGCGUUGUCCGGAAUUAUUGGGCGUAAAGCGCGCGCAGGCGGUCCUUUAAGUCUGAUGUGAAAGCCCACGGCUCAACCGUGGAGGGUCAUUGGAAACUGGGGGACUUGAGUGCAGAAGAGGAAAGCGGAAUUCCACGUGUAGCGGUGAAAUGCGUAGAGAUGUGGAGGAACACCAGUGGCGAAGGCGGCUUUCUGGUCUGUAAACUACGCUAGGCGCAAAGGCUG
rnacentral:rRNA from 1 species